rnacentral:tRNA from 1 species
UCCUCGUUAGCUCAAUGGCAGAGCGGGCGGCUGUUAACCGCUAGGUUCGAGGUUCGAGUCCUCGACGAGGAGCUA